rnacentral:rRNA from 1 species
UACAGAGGGUGCGAGCGUUAAUCGGAAUUACUGGGCGUAAAGCGCACGUAGUCGGCUUUGCAAGUCGGGUGUGAAAUCCCCGGGCUCAACCUGGGAACUGCAUCCGAGACUGCAUUGCUAGAGUAUGGGAGAGGGAAGCGGAAUUUCUGGUGUAGCAGUGAAAUGCGUAGAUAUCAGAAGGAACAUCAGUGGCGAAGGCGGCUUCCUGGACCAAUACUGACGCUGAGGAGCGAAAGCGUGGGGAGCGAACAGG